rnacentral:rRNA from 1 species
CCGGACAACGUAGUUGAAACUUCAAACGGAAUUGAACGGGGGACCCGGCGACAAGCAGCGGAGCAUGUGGUUUAAUUCGUACGCAACACGAAGAACCUUACCUGGGCUUGACAUGUUCCUGACCGCUCUGGAAACCAGAGCGUCCCUUCGGGGCCAGGAUCACAGGUGGUGCAUGGCUGUCGUCUAGCUCGUGUCGUGAGAUGUUGGGUUAAGUCCCGCAACGAGCGNAACCCCCGUCGCAUGUUGCCAGCAUUAAGUUGGGACUCAUGUGAGACUGCCGGUGACAAACCGGAGGAAAGGUGGGGACGACGUCAAGUCAUCAUGCCCCUUAUGUCCAGGGCUACACACGUGCUACAUUGGCGCGUACAGAGGGCUGCGAUACCGCGAGGUGGAGCGAAUCCCUCAAAGCGCGUCUCGGUUCGGAUUGCAGGCUGAAACCCGCCUGCAUGAAGGUGGAGUUGCUAGUAAUCGCGGAUCAGCAAUUGCCGCGGUGAAUACGUUCCCGGGUCUUGUACACAGUCGACGCGGCC